UACGUAGGGUGCAAGCGUUAUCCGGAUUCAUUGGGUUUAAAGGGUGCGUAGGCGGGUUGAUAAGUCAGUGGUGAAAGCCCAACGCUUAACGUUGGAACAGCCAUUGAUACUGUCGAUCUUGAAUGUGUUUGAUGUGGGCGGAAUAUGACAUGUAGCGGUGAAAUGCUUAGAUAUGUCAUAGAACACCGAUUGCGAAGGCAGCUCACAAAGCCACUAUUGACGCUGAGGCACGAAAGCGUGGGGAGCAAACAGG
rnacentral:rRNA from 1 species